rnacentral:rRNA from 1 species
AGCAGCCGCGGUAAUUCCAGCUCCAAUAGCGUAUAUUAAAGUUGUUGCAGUUAAAAAGCUCGUAGUUGAAUUUCGGGAUUGGCGCAUCGGUCGUGCCUCACGGGGUAUGAACUGGUGCAGUCAAUUUCUCACCUUCUGGAGAACCGCGAUGUCCUUAAUUGGAUGCCGCGGGGAACCAGGACCUUUACUUUGAAAAAAUUGAGUGUUUAAAGCAGGCAUUUUUGCUUGAAUACAUUAGCAUGGAAUAAUAAAAUAGGACGGCAUGGUUCUAUUUUGUUGGUUUCUAGGACCACCGUAAUGAUUAAUAGGGAUAGUUGGGGGCAUUAGUAUUCAAUUGUCAGAGGUGAAAUUCUUGGAUUUAUUGAAGACUAACUACUGCGAAAGCAUUUGCCAAGGAUGUUUUCAU